AGGAGGGAGGGAAAGUGAAUCAACAUCACCGAAGGAGGACAGCGAGCAAGAUUAGGGCUGGCUAAUGAUAAAUGAGAAGGCGCCGCUGACAGCUCCGCGCUCCGCGCAGCGCCCGCCCGGCUGCUCCGCGCUCCCUCCGCACCCUCCGGCCGCCCGCUCCCGCUCCAGCCGCCGGCCUGGCUCCAGCUCCCCCUUCCCUUUUCUUUUCUAUAUAUAUAUUUUUUUAUUUAUAUAUAUAAUUUUCACCCCCCUCUGCAUAGCGCGGGGGGGGGGCACAUCCCACCCCCUGCCUCCCCGAGCAUCCUCCGCGGGAUUACGCGCCUGGCCGCGCUCCGCACCGGCUGCAGGACGGAGGGACCACGGCGGGGCUGCCGCAGGGGCUCCGUGCACAGAGCCUCUACCUCGGGAAUGGUGCCCUUGGGAACACUGGCAGCAGCUCGGGCUCCCUGGGACGCCUCUUUGCACCCACCGAGGGGUUCUGCAGGUAUUUCGGUCCAUCCCUCCCUGGGCUCGCAUCCCGGCCGGCGCGGAUGCCGCAAGGAGCCCGUCGGGUCGUGCCAAUAAAGCUCUUUCCUUGCGGGUUCCUGCA